AGUGAACGCUGGCGGUAGGCCUAACACAUGCAAGUCGAACGGCAGCACAGUAAGAGCUUGCUCUUACGGGUGGCGAGUGGCGGACGGGUGAGGAAUACAUCGGAAUCUACUUUUUCGUGGGGGGUAACGUAGGGAAACUUACGCUAAUACCGCAUACGACCUACGGGUGAAAGCAGGGGAUCUUCGGACCUUGCGCGAUUGAAUGAGCCGAUGUCGGAUUAGCUAGUUGGCGGGGUAAAGGCCCACCAAGGCGACGAUCCGUAGCUGGUCUGAGAGGAUGAUCAGCCACACUGGAACUGAGACACAGUCCAGACUCCUACGGGAGGCAGCAGUGGGGAAUAUUGGACAAUGGGCGCAAGCCUGAUCCAGCCAUACCGCGUGGGUGAAGAAGGCCUUCGGGUUGUAAAGCCCUUUUGUUGGGAAAGAAAAGCAGCAGGUUAAUACCCCGCUGUUCUGACGGUACCCAAAGAAUAAGCACCGGCUAACUUCGUG
rnacentral:rRNA from 1 species